GAAAAAUUUCGGCCGAUGUGAGUACGGAAAAAUUUAUAUAUUUUCAUUGUUUCUCGGAACCUCGACUGGGUAGCAUCAAUUUUUAUUUUUGGAGAAAAAACUUGUUAGUGUUUUUUCAAAAUUUUUACAAGUUAACUAUGUGAGCUGCGGGCCGAAACAAACACGGGGGCGAUUUGGUGGUACAAGCAGCAAAUGCUGACAGGAUUUGUUGCGGGACACUUGACACAUCAACACUACAAUCCAUGGGCCAUUAUUGAAGAACAACCUUAGGCACAGCACUCUUCACACAAAACUAAGGCCAGCUUAGGCCAUCAGAAGCAAAGUUGGACUUCUCCGAUGGGACCCGUCUCCACGUGGCACGUGUCUUGAGAUGAGCGGAUAGCAUCCACACAUAAUUCAACCUGUUCUUGUCAGACGUUUAAAUGUUUUAAAAAUAUAGAAACUUCCAACAAUUUUAUUAGCUUUUUUUCUAUGGGCUUGUGGGAGGGGACAGGUGGAACAGAAGGUCUUCCGCUGUCAGCGAAGAGCAUUUCUGGUCUUUUUCUUAAGAAAAAAAAUAUAUCAAGGGGCUGUAAAAAUCCCAUUUUCUCGGAAUUUACACAAAAAACAAAGGCAAUUCCAAAGGCAACUCAGUUUUUAUUUUUUCAAAGAAAUAUUUUUGAAAGAAAGCCCAGUUUUCAGAGCCAUCUAGAUUGACUUUUGUACAACCAAUGGUUCAUCCAAAACGAUAGAAUUCCAGGCUGCUGUAUAGAGUUCCAGGCCCUUGCUUGUGCUCUAAACGCGUGGCAGGCCUCAUAAAUAUUUUCUAGGCAAAAGGAACUACAAAAAAUAGACAAAAAAUGACUGGCCACGGGGAUACCCUCUAACCCCCAAAAAGUCGAGCAGAUAGCAGGCUGUGGAAUUACCAAAACAAAGGAUCUAAAAGCUGAGCAUAUAGCAGGCUCUGAAAUCGAAUAAAAGCAUGUGUGAAAAAUUUCGGCCGAUGUGAGUACGGAAAAAUUUAUAUAUUUUCAUUGUUUCUCGGAACCUCGACUGGGUAGCAUCAAUUUUUAUUUUUGGAGAAAAAACUUGUUAGUGUUUUUUCAAAAUUUUUACAAGUUAACUAUGUGAGCUGCGGGCCGAAACAAACACGGGGGCGAUUUGGUGGUACAAGCAGCAAAUGCUGACAGGAUUUGUUGCGGGACACUUGACACAUCAACACUACAAUCCAUGGGCCAUUAUUGAAGAACAACCUUAGGCACAGCACUCUUCACACAAAACUAAGGCCAGCUUAGGCCAUCAGAAGCAAAGUUGGACUUCUCCGAUGGGACCCGUCUCCACGUGGCACGUGUCUUGAGAUGAGCGGAUAGCAUCCACACAUAAUUCAACCUGUUCUUGUCAGACGUUUAAAUGUUUUAAAAAUAUAGAAACUUCCAACAAUUUUAUUAGCUUUUUUUCUAUGGGCUUGUGGGAGGGGACAGGUGGAACAGAAGGUCUUCCGCUGUCAGCGAAGAGCAUUACUGGUCUUUUUCUUAAAGAAUAUAUUCCAACCGGCUGUAAAAAUCCCAUUUUCUCGGAAUUUACACAAAAAAACAAAGGCAAUUCCAAAGGCAACUCAGUUUUUAUUUUUUCAAAGAAAUAUUUUUGAAAGAAAGCCCAGUUUUCAGAGCCAUCUAGAUUGACUUUUGUACAACCAAUGGUUCAUCGAAAACGAUAGAAUUCCAGGCUGCUGUAUAGAGUUCCAGGCCCUUGCUUGUGCUCUAAACGCGUGGCAGGCCUCAUAAAUAUUUUCUAGGCAAAAGGAAUUACAAAAAAUACACAAAAAUGACUGGGCACGGGGAUACCCUCUAACCCCCAAAAAGUCGAGCAGAUAGCAGGCUGUGGAAUUACCAAAACAAAGGAUCUAAAAGCUGAGCAUAUAGCAGGCUCUGAAAUCGAAUAAAAGCAUGUGUGAAAAAUUUCGGCCGAUGUGAGUACGGAAAAAUUUAUAUAUUUUCAUUGUUUCUCGGAACCUCGACUGGGUAGCAUCAAUUUUUAUUUUUGGAGAAAAAACUUGUUAGUGUUUUUUCAAAAUUUUUACAAGUAAACUAUGUGAGCUGCGGGCCGAAACAAACACGGGGGCGAUUUGGUGGUACAAGCAGCAAAUGCUGACAGGAUUUGUUGCGGGACACUUGACACAUCAACACUACAAUCCAUGGGCCAUUAUUGAAGAACAACCUUAGGCACAGCACUCUUCACACAAAACUAAGGCCAGCUUAGGCCAUCAGAAGCAAAGUUGGACUUCUCCGAUGGGACCCGUCUCCACGUGGCACGUGGAACGUGGCACGUGUCUUGAGAUGAGCGGAUAGCAUCCACACAUAAUUCAACCUGUUCUUGUCAGACGUUUAAAUGUUUUAAAAAUAUAGAAACUUCCAACAAUUUUAUUAGCUUUUUUUCUAUGGGCUUGUGGGAGGGGACAGGUGGAACAGAAGGUCUUCCGCUGUCAGCGAAGAGCAUUACUGGUCUUUUUCUUAAAGAAUAUAUUCCAACCGGCUGUAAAAAUCCCAUUUUCUCGGAAUUUACACAAAAAAACAAAGGCAAUUCCAAAGGCAACUCAGUUUUUAUUUUUUCAAAGAAAUAUUUUUGAAAGAAAGCCCAGUUUUCAGAGCCAUCUAGAUUGACUUUUGUACAACCAAUGGUUCAUCCAAAACGAUAGAACUCCAGGCUGCUGUAUAGAGUUCCAGGCCCUUGCUUGUGCUCUAAACCAAUAUACCCUGUGGCCCCCCAAGUACUGCGCAUAAAUACAAAAAAAAAAAUAAGUCAGAAAUCUGUACGUCGCGUCGUUUGAUAUUUUUAUGUGGCCCGCCCCUGGGGUGGCGUUUACCGUUUGUGCACACUCACUCCCCACUCCCCCACUCCACCCGGAGUCCUGCCCUAGAGACGAAGCCAACGGAAAUCGGAACUAAUUUAUGUGGAAAUGAGUUAAUUUCCUCUGGCUGAAUUGUGAUUUUGUAGCGAUUUCAUCGCUGCCCUGCCCUGCCAAAACUAAUUACCAAGCACUUCUCUGGGCCCAAAAUAGUCUUAAGAUGAGGUUCUUGUUGAUUCCGGGCAGAUUUCAAGCAAAAUUAAGUGCUGAAUAUUUAAUGUGUGUAAUCCGCUUUACACUUUCGGCCAUAUUUGGCAGCAAACCAAACAUUUACAGAAUUAUUCAAAAAAAAAAAAAACGUGAAUAUAAAAAUGAAAUAAAAAUAAGUGACGUUUGUAAAUAAUUGACGAAAAAAUGACAGCGACUGUUUCAAGAGAAAGUACAACGAAAAUUGUACAUAUAUACAUAUGAAAAGGUUGACAAAUUUUCUAACGAAAUCGAAAGAACAAAUUGGUGAAUAAUUUCAACAAAACAAAAGACAAUUCAGCGCUGCAGACCGAAAAUCCCAAUGGACAGGCAGGACAGAGCACUCACCAGAGAUGGAGAAGGAGAUGGAGGCCAAAACCUAACCCUGAAAAUCAAUAAAAUGGUGCUAAAACCUAUGAAAGUCGUUUCAACUGAAUAUUUGAAAGAUAAUUGAACAGAACACCCAUCAUUGGAUUCAAAAUUGAGUCCUUCAAACACAGCCGCUCGGAAUGGAAUCAAAAUGGAAAUUUACCAAUUUUUGGGGACAUCAGGCAAAAA